rnacentral:siRNA from 1 species
UAUGUGAUUGUGGUUGGAAUUCUC